CUGGUGCACGUGUGUGCGCGCCCCGAGAAGCCGCCCGGGCAGGUCACGCGGCUCCGCGCCCUGCCCCUGACCCAAGGGCAGCUGGUUCUGGUCUGGUCGGAUGAACACGUGGGCUCCAAGUGCGUGAGUGGGGCCGCCCCUCCCUCUGCCUGGUCCUAGGCAGGUCCCUGGGUCCCGACCCCUUCACCCAUGCGGUCACUCGGGCCACUUGCCGUGGC
rnacentral:lncRNA from 1 species